CUUGCCCUAAUUCUCUACAAAAAAAACUCAUCCGACGGAAUUGAUUUAUGGCAACGGAGAUUUCAAUGAGUCGGGUUUCGAGGACUUCAUCCGAGGCGCUGCAGCCUCAAUUCCGGUCAUUGCCAUCGUCGGCCCGCAGUCCAGUGGAAAAAGUACUUUGUUGAAUCAUCUAUUCCUUACAAACUUUAGGGAAAUGAAUGCAGAAACUGGAAGGAGCAAGACAACGAAUGGGAUAUGGAUAGCAAAAGCCCCUCAUAUUGAGCCCUUAACUAUCGGGGAAAAUCGGGUUUAUGGGGGAGUUUACACUAAAUAUUACGUAAAUGUACCCAUUUUGUUAUCUAUUCCACAAAUGGGAAAAACGCCAACCACAUUGGCGUUUUUAUUAGUAAAUACGCCAACGU